rnacentral:RNase_P_RNA from 1 species
UAAAGCAGACAAAAUGGUCGCCGGUCCCGAUUUAUCGGGACGGGAGGAAAGUCCGAGCUCCACAGGACAGGGCGCUCCGUAACACGGAGUCCCGGUGACGGGAAGGAAAGUGCCACAGAAAAUAGACCGCCUCCUGACUGGGUUUUUCCCAGUCAACACGCGAGGCAAGGGUGAAACGGUGAGAUAAGUGCUCACCAGGCCUGAUGGUGACAUCAGGUGCUUGGUAAACCCCGCCCGGAGCAAGACCAAAUAAGGGAGCAUGAGUAGGGUGGUCCGCCCGUAGCUCCCGGGUAGGUCGCUUGAAGGAGCGGGUAACCGCUUCUCUAGAGUAAUGACCAUUGCCCUGAAGGAAACUUCAGGGAACAGAACUCGGCUUAUUGUCUGCUUUAGCAU